GAAAAUUACGCGGGAAACGUGGGCGGGGCCGGUUGCCAAGGUAGCAGUCCUUUCAAAUCCGUGCACUGCGAUCCUAGUGGGCGGAGCUACGCUCUACUACGAUGGCGGCGGGAGGAGAGCAGAUGUCGGACGGAGAAGCCCAUCCUUCUGGCUCCGUCCGUGUCUGUCAGCCAUGAGCACAUGUCUGAUGUGCGCAUUAAAGAAUAUCAUUCAAACUGAAUUUACCAAAGAAGUCCCACACAAAGACGUUUUUCUGAAACAGUCGAGCCGUACGAAAACCAUGAUGAAAGAAUUGCUCCAGAGCCCAAACAAGACCACCUUCACCACACAGAAGAACCGUCAAACUGCCCCUCUGACAACAAAGAUGAAGGCGUUUAAAACAAUGAAUGACAGACAUUAUAGUGAGACAAGAUUCAUAAAUCCACAUCAUACCUCUUUCUCCGGUUUGUGGAAAUGCUUUAUAAUGUUGUUUACUGCUUCACCAAUGGAUUCCUGUAUCUGAACUGUUGUUGGUUCUAGAGCAAGAGGAAUAUAUACAGAGAUGAAUGGCAUUAUACCCAGAGAGGAACCUUCCUUUAAAGGCUUUAUGGAGUUUUCAAAUCAUCAAAACUCACUGUUGCCGCGGCCUGUAAGUGACGUGAUGCUGAUUCUUCGAAUCUGUGACGGAGAGCGCUGAAGGGGCGGAGUCCGUCCCCCAUCUUCAUCGUUGAACGGUACUACAAGUUCACCUAUCAGAACCCUCUCCAGACUGCCAUCAUCAACACCUUUCCCCAGCCACCUACCACAUGGGAACCUGGAAGUGGUACAAAGUGAAUAACUUAUAUACCUUAAACAGAGAGAGAGAGAAAAUAAACGGGGUCAAGAAAGAAAAACAGGCUGUACUUGUAUGUAUGUCCGGUGAUCUCAUUGCGGACCAUGACGCAAUCCACCAGCCAUUUGGCGAGCAGGCCCGAGUUAUCGUGACCCAGCUGCACUGUUGUCAACCUCCCGAUAUUCUGACACUGUAAGACCAACGCAGAUAGAAAUGUCAGAAACAUUAAGUGGCUGUCUGUAAGUGAUGGACAGCCCGGUGUAAAAAUACACACCACAUUUUGAAAGUGGGAAGAGUAGGAGCACCAAGACAAGUGUGCAGUAUGCAAUACCUUAAUAAAGACAUUCAGGGAAGAUUUAAACUAUGUCAAUGCUGCCGUAAAGGGUAACCAUACCUUGUGUUAGCCAAUCAGACGUGUUUUUGAGACAGAACAAUCUGUUUUGCUGAACAAUGGAAGAGUUUGUAAGCCUUUAUAAAUGUAAAAAUAAAAUGAUUCCUUAAAGCAGUAUUAACACAUCUUUUUGUUUCCCCAAAUGUGCAAGUCAGUCAAAAUUGAAAGCUACAGAGGAAUCCAAAAGGAGAAAAAGAGGAGGUCGUUCCGAACGGAGGAGAGGAAAAAUGGAAGAUGAGAUGAAUAGAAAAGGAAGGACAAAACGGAGGGAUGUGCACCUAACCUUGAAGGCGAUGGAGAAGAUGCCGGAGUCGCCCAGCUCACCGGAUACACACAGCCAGGGGUUCGAUGUUGUCAUUGCGUUACUAAGCUUCUUGAUGGGAAUGAUGACAGCCCGG